rnacentral:lncRNA from 1 species
GAAAUAUGGAAUUUUCAUAAAAAGGCAAACAGCCAAGAGAAGUACACAACCUAUAAAGCAGCUAAGCACAAAGAACAACAAGAAAUAAAACAUCACAGCUGCAUGGAAGGAGGACUAAUAAAAAGACGUAGUCAUAAGACAACCGGAUACGUCGAGAAGCCCACACAUCCGCAAACAUUAAGCACUCCUUGGGGGGCAUGGUAAACCUUCUUUGUUCAGGAUAUGCAUUGGAGAGGAUGGGGGUCGGUUGACCCAUACUUCCGGGCUCAUCCUCGAAAUGGCAAGCAUUGCCAAAUGAUCUGCCGCUUGGUUGGCGGUUCUAAGAAUCCACGUCCAAACGUAGGUCUGGAAGCAGUUCAAAA